AUUGUUUCUGUUGUUUUUUUUUUUUCGUUUUAGCUGGGCUUUCGUUAUUGCUGUUUUCUUUUGCCUAGGCCUAUUUCGUUUUUAGUCAAGUCAUUUGUAUGCCCCUGAACCUAUGAGCGCGCACAAUGAUAGUCACGCACACACACACACACACACAUAUACAGCUUUGAAGGGAAGCCCUCCACUUUAUCAUCAAUUCGCUGCGAAUGGUGGCGCGCAUGAAAAACAUUUUUCAUCAACAUGAAUUUCCCGUUAGACAUUUGCUUUGUUUUUUCCCUCCUUUAUUUCUGACACACAUUUUUGAAACUUUUGGCAGUCUUUAUUAUACUUAUUAUCGCUUCAUACUUUGGCCGACGUUUAAAUUGAGCAACGUAUUUUUUUUGUAUUUUUUCUUUCUUUCUUUUCCCUUCUUUUGUUUUUUAUAUGACCUGUGUGUGUAUAUAUUUGUUUUUGUGUGGCUGCUGUCCGAGUUUUCUUGAGCACUCGACUAAAAUGAUGGCAAUUGAUUGGAUUAACAUAAUAUGCUUAACAUAACACCAAAACAGCUACUUAAAGGGAAUUAAAUAGCCGGUCUCUGUCUCAUUUGCGUUUCCUUCAUUUGCUUAAGGUUAUUUUUGUUAUAAGCCGCAAAAUUGCUUGUCGCGUUUUUUUGGAGGAUGCAAAGUGUCUGAUUCCACUUGGAGGACAUAUUUUCAAAAAGCUAGAGAAUAAAAUUAGAUGUAAAAGUCAUCAUAUAUUUGUAAAAAAAUUGGUUAAAAAGAUACUUCAUCUUGGGCAAAAAAUAAAA